UAUAAAUAUUUUAGUCGCAAACUCAUGUGGUGAGCAGAGAAUGCUUUGCGCGCGCGCGCACACACACACACCCACACCAAGGGAGGGGAAUUCAAAGGGGGCGUUCGGCUCCCUCCUACACCCACCUCGUCCAAGUCGAUAACCCAUGUACUAUCUGCAAACGGAUCGAUGCGCAAUCGGAUUCGUGUGCAAUCGGGUCCGUGUACAAUCGGGUUUGUAUGCAAUCGGGUUCGUGUGCAAUAGGGUCCAUGUUCAAUCGGAUUCGUGUGCAAACGGGUCGGUGCGCAAUCAGGUCCGUAUGAAAUUAAUUCUGUGUCCGAUUCAAACGCUAUGUGUCCGAUCGUUGUUGUGUCUAAUAGAGUCUGUGUCCAGUGCACAAACCUAUAGGAAUUGUGUCCGAUUAGGACUAUGUCUGAUCGGGGCGGUGCACAAUCAGGUCCGUGUCCAAUCGGGAAUGUGUCCGAUUGGGAAAUACUACUGUGUCCGAUCGUUUGUGUGCGCAAUCGGGACAUUCCCGAUCCCGAGGAGUCAACGGCAGCGUUCCCGUACCGUGUCCCGAGACAAAUACUUUUUGAAAAAUAAAAAUGCGAUGAUUUGUCAUGGUGUUAUAGUAAUUUAAAGUUAUGCAAAAUUUCGGUACAAUUUUUGUAUGCACUAAUUUUAUUGACCAGUAUAUAUUUAAUGUAGAUAAUAAAAAUUACUUCUUUUAAAAAAGGCGUCAAGUGUGUGGGUUGUAUGUGUUUCUCUUUAAGAAAAAUACCAGUAUUUUUAUUUUGCACUGCUCCUAUUUUUUUACAUAAUACAAAAUAAGUGUAAAUGUGCGAAAUGACAAGAAAUUGCCUUUUUAAAUAAAAGGAUAAAAAUUUGUUUUUUCUAUAAAAAUAAUGAUAUAAAGUAAAUGCGCUAACUAUAAAAACGGAUAUUUACAAAUUUACUGCUUUUUAAUGUUAAAAUGUUAUAUUUAAUAAUAUGGUUCUAUAUGUAUUAUUGAAUAAUAUCUAUUAUUAUAAUAGUAAAGCGUUUCGAUUAUUAUAUUAACAUUUGUGACGUGACAUCUGCGAACUGCCGUCCGUUACAAUGGCCGCGUUUUCACCUCGCGGAUUUUGCGUCCUCCCGCUCGAGAGUAGGUGCGUUGGCGUGGCGCGUUUUGUUCUAUGUCCGUGUGCCGUCUUGUGUACCGUUUUUCUGUACGAUCUAAGUCAUUUCAAGCGCUACGCCAACAGUGUGGGGGAAAUCGGCGACUGCAAAACAUAGGACUUUGUAUGACUUUAAUGUUUCAUUCCACAAGAAAAUGCCAAAAAAACACCGGAACAAAAAAGGAGAACAUCGGGGAAUUACCAAGACCUCUUGAAAGCGAGGACAUAGUCUGAGGAGACACCUUCUGCUGGCGCACAGACGGGAUGGCAUCCGGACGGACUCCACGCAAAUCUCGACGAGGAGAGCGGAGACGGGAGGAGUUAUUUCCUGCCGAUCCACGAAAUGAGAAUCAGGGAACGACAUCCCGGAGAAUGGAAAUGCGGCGGUUUAUGAAGGAAGGAACCGUCGUCGACAAAAUCGAAAAGAGAUCCCGUCACAAAGGACCGGCAUCAUUCAAGCACCUAGGCAAAGUAGGGCGCAUCGCAGCGUGGCCCCCGCGGAAUCGACAAUCGAUCCUCAUUUUGGCUGCGGAAACUCGAGUCAUCAGAUCUCGGGUUGAAGGGAGUGACAUUUGUAAGAAGACGCAAGAGCCAACCAAAGAUCCCGAGAAGGCGAGUGAGGAGCGGUAUUGGUGAGACAAGCGUCACAUAAACUGUAAAGUCGCCGAUUUCACGAGUCGCAGAUCGGCCGCGAAUUACACAUCGUUAUCAUUUUGCGAGAUUUUAUAGUAGCUCGAAUUUCGAGUCUAUUGUGAUACCGUUGUCUCGCUUGAUUCCACCUACGUGGAUACAUAUUGUUACGCGCGGGCCCGCGGAAAUGAAAGAGACACUUAAGAACUUUUAUAUCAGGCAGCUUUAUUCCGAGCAAUUACAGAACGCGUCCGACAAGGCUCGAGACCGAGAUUAGACUUUUGUUGAACAAGCGUUGCCAAGAGCGUGACAACUGACAACGCUCUCGGGAAAAUCAAUAUAUCGAUCGGCUUCAGGACAGCUCAGUCGCAGUCGCGGAGUAUACCGGGCGACGCUCGUAACAAUAUUUUCGUUCGCUUUUCAUUAUGCGCGCGCCUACACCGCAGCCAGGUCACUUUUGUCGAUUAAUGUCGCGGAAUUCCAUGUAAUUUUGUAUUCGAUUCCGUCAGAGUGCGUGUUUAUGAUUAUUUAUCGCGGCGUCUACGAGUGAUUAUGUUAUAGCGUACGUUCUUCACGAAAUAAAUUUCAUUAGCAGGAGAUCACGAACUCAAAGCGUGCCGCGCGAGCUGUAACGCAUUGUACGUUCUGAUUGUCCUUGACGACUGCCCUCGCGUCGGAAGUUUGAUGACGAUUCAAUUGCGUUUAUAAAAUAUGAAGACACGCUUGAAAAUAUCCAUCAGGAUCGCAUCGCAGAUAUUAUAAUUGUUCCCUUCCCGACUCAACGUUAAUCCGAGUGAGAACCGGGUUGUACGCAAUUUGUAGUAUCACCAUUCAUCCGUGUGUUCAAGGUCACGUUAAUCAUUGUAAUUGUUUGAAAUCGGAAAUCCAAUUGUUAUUUUAUUGUUUAAACUGUGUGUAAAUAGUUCUCUCGCCUUCUAUAUUCCAGCCGUCCAUGCCGAAUCUUCCCCUUUAUCAUCUUUCAGGGCUGAGUAAUCGGUUAUCGGAAUCACCAAAGUUCAUGUCAAAUACAAUAUUCGUCCUUUUUGCGUUUCCGUUCAGGAGAUAAUUACCUGUGCAUCCUGCGAAGGAAUGAGACGCUUUCUCGUAUCUACGCUUUUUGAGUGAGAUGUACUGAAUUGCUUGCCGUCUCGUUAUACUGGCUACGCAAAAUAACGACAUGGACAAAGGCGAAGUUGCUCGUAGCCCGUCAGCACGGUCGCACAUUAUAUAAAAACUAAAAAA
rnacentral:lncRNA from 1 species